UGGCCUAUAGUGUAACGGUAGCACUACAGAUUCUGACUCUGUUAGCCUAGGUUCGAAUCCUGGUAGGCCAA
rnacentral:tRNA from 1 species